rnacentral:lncRNA from 1 species
GGAAAUUCAGAAAAAAGAAGUAUAGCAACCAUCAGCUUAAAUGAAAGAAGCAUUGCCUUCAAAAUGUAGAUGGUAUCUUUAAUUUGAAACUUUAUCCGUAGUGGACUACAAAAAAGGAAGAGUAAUUGGCCCAUGGAGAUAUCGCUAUUUCUUUGUCCCAUUUACAGGAAAAAGGCUGCAUACACAAGCAGCAGCAACGCAUCUCCAUUUUAAAAUGUUUGAGCUGCAGUGGCAAUGGAAAGAAACAUCAAAAUAAACAACCCAAACUGAAGACUCUGUAAAUUAGCAACACAAUUAGAGUAUUAAAACUUAGGAACAACAUUGACAGUGAACAAGACCCCACUUUAAAUCAGGUGUUCUCCCAAAAAAAAAACAAACUUCUUAUUGUCCAACCACACACCCAACAAUUGGAUCAGCAAAAAUAUGUCAAUUCAAGAUAGCUUCUCACUGAGCAAGCUUGCAUAUAUCUGAACAGAAGCAGCUAAAGAAAUAGAAACGCUGAGCUUUCAUUUUAUAGAAAAAAAUGAGAGAAUAUUUUACUGACUCCAUCUUUCUAGUUUGGGCUUUUUUUUGUUUUAAGUGUAGCAUUUAGCCAUGUUUGGAAACACCCCCC